UCGUCAAUGGCUUUCACGGUGAAGACGUCACAUACCUGCUCCUUCUUCCUGACAUCAGCGAUGCCAUGGAGAGCCUCCUCCUUUGCUCCAAGAUUGGCACCCCAUGCAUGUGUCAGCUCCCGUACACCCCGUUGUCGGAGAAGGUAGAAGCCCCAAUACUUGCUCAACCGUGGAGUCCCCAGAGGUCCGCAACGCUGCCAUCGGGUUGAGAUUGGAUGGCGCUGGGAAGGAGACCAGGAGACACACAAGAAUGGUGAGAGAGAUGCUUGGAAAAUCUGAAUGUGUGUAGGAUGACUACGCCACAGAGGACGAUGAACAUGAGGAGAAUCUGAAGAAGGAAAGGUUUGUGCUAUUCUUAGAAACGGGUGCCGCCGGGGCUGCAACGUCGGCCUGGGGUGCAAGGGCCGAAGCUGUGACCGGUGACUGGGAAGACCUUGAGCAGGCCACAUGAUGCUGCGACGAGGCGCCAACGCUGCAGACAACGGAUUGGUGCUCCAAGCCGAUGUUGGGUGUUGUGAGCAGGUCGUCACUCUGCCGCAAGGACCACACGAGGCACUACUACAAAAGGGGUUGUCAGGGGCGGGAUGCUGCAAGCCGGUGACGGCCACACAUAGCCGAUGCCAGGCCGGUCAUGGCUGCUUUGACCAAGCAUUGAGAGCCCAACGCCGACGUACUACGAGUGGUGCCGCAAUGCAUGUUGUGUGCGACAUUGUAAUCGUGUGGACACGGAGUGAGAGGAGGAGGACUGAGAAGGAGUAUUUGAUCGGACGAAUGUGGUGCACUGUAAUCGAUGACUAGCCAGGCGAAUGUUUCUCGUGAGAAAUCAGUAGGAUGAUGCCUACGGUCACCCUUGUUAUUCAGUAGCAAUGCACGAAUAUUUCCAAAUUCCAAUUAA